rnacentral:rRNA from 1 species
UACGUAGGGCGCAAGCGUUAUCCGGAAUUAUUGGGCGUAAAGAGCUCGUAGGCGGUGUGUCGCGUCGGCCGUGAAAACCUGGGGCUCAACUCUGGGCGUGCGGUCGAUACGGGCAUCACUUGAGUUCGGCAGGGGAGACUGGAAUUCCUGGUGUAGCGGUGAAAUGCGCAGAUAUCAGGAGGAACACCGGUGGCGAAGGCGGGUCUCUGGACCGCAACUGACGCUGAGACACGAAAGCGUGGGUAGCGAACAGG